CAGUAGCCGCGGUAAUACGUAGGGUGCAAGCGUUAAUCGGAAUUACUGGGCGUAAAGCGUGCGCAGGCGGUUUGUUAAGACAGAUGUGAAAUCCCCGGGCUCAACCUGGGAACUGCAUUUGUGACUGGCAAGCUAGAGUCUGGCAGAGGGGGGUGGAAUUCCGCGUGUAGCAGUGAAAUGCGUAGAUAUGCGGAGGAACACCGAUGGCGAAGGCAGCCCCCUGGGCCAACACUGACGCUCAUGCACGAAAGCGUGGGGAGCAAACAGGAUUAGAUACCCGGGUAGUCCCUGUCUCUUAUAC
rnacentral:rRNA from 1 species